AGAGUCGCCCGGAUCACCGCGUUACGCCCAGAUUAAUUUCUAGGUGGACCGAGGAAAGUCCGGACUUCACAGAGCAAGGUGGUGGGUAACACCCACCCGGAGAAAUCCGCGGGAUUAGUGCCACAGAAAAUAGACCGCACAUGAAAAUGUGUAAGGGUGAAACGGUGGUGUAAGAGACCACCAGUAUUUGUAGUGAUGCAGAUAGCUUGGUAAACCCCACCUGAAGCAAGACCACGCAGAUGGCGUUUGAGAACUGCUCGUUCGAGCCAUCGG
rnacentral:RNase_P_RNA from 1 species